rnacentral:rRNA from 1 species
GGGCCCGCACAAGCGGUGGAUCAUGUGGUUUAAUUCGAAGCAACGCGCAAAACCUUACCUAGGCUUGAAAUCCCAAGAAUCCUCCCGAAAAGGAGGAGUGCUCUUCGGAGAAUUUGGUGACAGGCGCUGCAUGGCUGUCGUCAGCUCGUGUUGUGAAAUGUUGGGUUAAGUCUCGCAACGAGCGCAACCCCUAUUUUUAAUUGCCAGCAUUAAGUUGGGCACUUUAAAGAGACUGCCUGGGUUAACCAGGAGGAAGGUGGGGAUGACGUCAAGUCCUCAUGGCCCUUAUGCCUAGGGCUACACACGUGAUACAAUGGGUAGUACAGUGGGAAGCUAACCUGCGAAGGGGCGCAAAUCUCAAAAAGCUACUCUCAGUCCGGAUUGGAGUCUGCAACUCGACUCCAUG